GGAGCCAAUUAUUCUACAAGUUCACAGAAGCUGAUACCUUGUUGACAAAAAAAGCUUUUUUACUUAAUGAAAGUUUCCAUGUGACUUUACUCUUGUAUUGACAUUUAAGUUGUUCUGGGCCAGAAUACUUACUAUGUAUGGUUAAGUCCCCUGUCAGACUGUGAACUUGUAGGACUUGAAAUUUGCAUUGUGUUGCAUGGUUUGCUGUGAUUAAAAGUUAAGAUAUCUACAAGUCCUUGUUAACAGAUUCAGCCCAGUUUGACUGAGUUAACACGUUCAGCCCAGUUUGACAGAGUUAACACGUUCAGCCCAGUUUGACAGGGUUAACACGUCCAGCCCAGUUUGACAGAGUUAACACGUUCAGCCCAGUUUGACAGAGUUAACAUGUUCAGCCCAGUUUGUCUGAGUUAACAUGUUCAGCCCAGUUUGACUGAGUUAGCACGUUCAGCCCAGUUUGACUGAGUUAACACGUUCAGCCCAGUUUGACUGAGUUAACACGUUCAGCCAAGUUUGACUGAGUUAACACGUUCAGCCCAGUUUGACAGAGUUAACAUCUUCGGCCGAGUUUGACAGAGUUAACACGUUCAGCCCAGUUUGACAGAGUUAACAUCUUUGGCCGAGUUUGACAGAGUUAACAUGUUCAGCCCAGUUUGACAGAGUUAACACGUUCAGCCCAGUUUGACAGAGUUAACAUGUUCAGCUCAGUUUGACAGAGUUAACACGUUCAGCCCAGUUUGACUGAGUUAACACGUUCAGCCCAGUUUGACAGAGUUAACACGUUCAGCCCAGUUUGACUGAGUUAACACGUUCAGCCCAGUUUGACUGAGUUAACACGUUCAGCUCAGUUUGACAGAGUUAACACGUUCAGCCCAGUUUGACAGAGUUAACACGUUCAGCCCAGUUUGACAGAGUUAACACGUUCAGCCCAGUUUGACAGAGUUAACACGUUCAGCCCAGUUUGACAGAGUUAACACGUUCAGCCCAGUUUGACAGAGUUAACACGUUCAGCCCAGUUUGACAGAGUUAACAUGUUCAGCCCAGUUUGACAGAGUUAACACGUUCAGCCCAGUUUGACUGAGUUAACACGUUCAGCCCAGUUUGACUGAGUUAACACGUUCAGCCCAGUUUGACUGAGUUAACACGUUCAGCUCAGUUUGACAGAGUUAACACGUUCAGCCCAGUUUGACAGAGUUAACAUCUUCGGCCGAGUUUGACAGAACAAGCUUAACAGAGAGCAUUGUUGUAGCUUAUAAUAUGUAAGGGGCAUGCUGUGUGAUGUUUUGAAACGAUAUCAGAAAGAUGCUUAUCCAUCUAAAAUUGCUGAAUAAUUUUCUGAUGGCAUGUAAAAUACCCCGUCAUUUACCAAAUGUAAACCAGCAGAUUAAAAAAAAA